AUUUGGUGACCCAAUUUUGUAUGUUUAUGAAUGAUAAAGUUUCGCUAAUGCCUCGAGCCCUGUCCCGGUUUUGGAUACAGGUGAGGGGUGUUAUACCGCUACUGUCAUACGGCCUUACUUUAACUCUAGAAAUUCCUUCCUCUUUUGGUCUAUAAUCCUCUGAAAAAUAUACUUCUUUUAGAACUCUUCCUAGAAUAAUUCCCAAGUUACUCUUUCUCUCGAUAGCACAAAC
rnacentral:lncRNA from 1 species